rnacentral:lncRNA from 10 species
AGUGAGCCGAGAUUGUGCCACUGCACUCCAGCCUGGGCAACACGGCAAGAUUCCAUCUAAAUAAAUAAAUACAUAAAUACAUAAGAUGAGGCAGCCAAAUAAAAAGGAAGGAGAUUCUGACCAGGCUACUCACAUGGGUGAACCUUAAGGACAUUAAGCUCAAUUGAGAAAAGCCGGACACAGAAGGACAAAUACUGCAAGUCCACUCCUAGGAGGUCCCUAGAGUCGUCAGAUUCAUAGAGACAGAAAGUAGGUUGGCGGGGUCAGGGGGUGUCGGAGGCUGGGGAGGGGACGGGGAGUGAGUGUUUCAUGGGGACAGAGUUUCAGUUUGGGAAGAGUAGAAAGUUCUGGAGAGGAUGGUGGCGAUGGCUGCAUGGCCAUUGGAAUGUAUUUAAUGUCCCUAAAGCUGUGCAUGGAAAGUUGGUUCAAAUGGUAAAUAUUAUGCAUAUUUUACCACAAUAAGAAAUUAAAUUAAAAAUUAAAAUGAGAUGGCAUAGAUUUAUAGCAUAUUAUUUUUAAAAC